rnacentral:rRNA from 1 species
GUGGGGAAUUUUGGACAAUGGGCGAAAGCCUGAUCCAGCCAUGCCGCGUGCAGGAUGAAGGCCUUCGGGUUGUAAACUGCUUUUGUACGGAACGAAAAGACUCCUUCUAAUAAAGGGGGUCCAUGACGGUACCGUAAGAAUAAGCACCGGCUAACUACGUGCCAGCAGCCGCGGUAAUACGUAGGGUACAAGCGUUAAUCGGAAUUACUGGGCGUAAAGCGUGCGCAGGCGGUUAUAUAAGACAGAUGUGAAAUCCCCGGGCUCAACCUGGGAAAUGCAUUUGUGACUGUAUAGCUAGAGUACGGUAGAGGGGGAUGGAAUUCCGCGUGUAGCAGUGAAAUGCGUAGAUAUGCGGAGGAACACCGAUGGCGAAGGCAAUCCCCUGGACCUGUACUGACGCUCAUGCACGAAAGCGUGGGGAGCAAACAGGAUUAGAAACCCCUGUAGUCC